rnacentral:rRNA from 1 species
AAGGUUUCCAGGGUAAAGCUGAUCUGCCCUGGGUAAGUCGGGGCCUAAGGCGAGGCAGAAAUGCGUAGUCGAUGGACAGCAGGUUGAGAUUCCUGCACCCGUAAUGAACAGAACUGUAGUGACACGGAAGGUAAGACAGAGCCGGGAAUGAGAAAACCGGUGCAAGCACAAUAGAUGUGUGGGAGGAAAAACCCCCGCAUAAGUCGAAGGUGUGACGCGGACCGAAAAAGAGUAGGGAAGCUGUUAAGCAAGCCGUCAAGAAAAGCUGCUAUUGUUUCAUUAUGGCCCGUACCGUAAACCGACACAGGUGGAUGGGGAGAGAAUCCUAAGGCCGGCGGAAGAAGUAUUGUUAAGGAACUCGGCAAAAUGACCCCGUAACUUCGGGAGAAGGGGUGCCUGCGAGAGCAGGCCGCAGAGAAGAGGCCCAAGCAACUGUUUAGCAAAAACACAGGUCUAUGCAAAACCGAAAGGUGAGGUAUAUGGGCUGACGCCUGCCCGGUGCUGGAAGGUUAAGGGGAGUGGUCAGGAAACGAAGCCACGAACUUAAGCCCCAGUAAACGGCGGCCGUAACGAUAACGGUCCUAAGGUAGCGAAAUUCCUUGUCGGGUAAGUUCCGACCCGCACGAAAGGCGUAAUGAUUUGGGCGCUGUCUCGACAAUACAUCCGGUGAAAUUGAAGUGCCAGUGAAGAUGCUGGCUACCUGCGCCAGGACGGAAAGACCCCAUGGAGCUUUACUCCAGCUUGAUACUGGGACCCGGUAUUGCAUGUACAGGAUAGGUGGGAGGCUAGGAAAUGUGGACGCCAGUCUGCAUGGAGCCGCUGUUGGGAUACCACCCUUGUGGUGCUGGGUUUCUAACCAGAGGCCGUGAACCGGUCUGGGGACAAUGUCAGGUGGGGAGUUUGACUGGGGCGGUCGCCUCCGAAAGGGUAUCGGAGGCGCCCAAAGGUUCCCUCAGAAUGGUUGGAAACCAUUCGAAGAGUGCAAAGGCAGAAGGGAGCUUGACUGCGACGCCGACGGGUGGAGCAGGUACGAAAGUAGGGCUUAGUGAUCCGGUGGAAUUUAAGUGGGAAUGCCAUCGCUCAACGGAUAAAAGCUACCCUGGGACAACAGGCCGAUCACUCCCAAGAGUUCACAUCGACGGAGUGGUUUGGCACCUCGAUGUCGGCUCAUCGCAUCCUGGGGCUGAAGUCGGUCCCAAGGGUUGGGCUGUUCGCCCAUUAAAGCGGUACGCGAGCUGGGUUCAGAACGUCGUGAGACAGUUCGGUCCCUAUCCGGCGUGGGCGUAGGAUAUCUGAGAGGAGCUGUCCUUAGUACGAGAGGACCGGGAUGGACUGACCUCUGGUGUACCGGUUGGCGAUCAACGCCACGGCCGGGUAGCCAUGUCGGGACGGGAUAAACGCUGAAGGCAUCUAAGCGUGAAGCCCCCCUCAAGAUGAGAUAUCCCAUUCGAAAGAAGUAAGACCCCUUGAAGACGACGAGGUUGAUAGGGCAGGGGUGGAAGUGCCGUAAGGCAUGGAGCUGACUGCUACUAAUCGGUCGAGGGCUUGACCG